rnacentral:rRNA from 1 species
GAUGAACGCUAGCUACAGGCUUAACACAUGCAAGUCGAGGGACCGGCGCACGGGUGAGUAACACGUAUCCAACCUGCCCUUUACUCGGGGAUAGCCUUUCGAAAGAAAGAUUACUACCACAUAUAAUGGCUGGGGAUGCGUUCCAUUAGGUUGUGUGUGAGGUAACGGCCAACCAAGCAUUCGAUGGAUAGGGGUGCUGAGAGGAAGGGCCCCCGCAUCGGAACUGAGACACGGGCCAAACUCGUACGGGAGGCAGCAGUGAGGAAUAUUGGUCAAUGGGCGCUAGCCUGAACCAGCCAAGUAGCGGGAAGGAUGAAGGCUUAUGGGUCGUAAACUUCUUUUAUAUAAGAAGAGGUAUUAUAUGAAUAAGGAUCGGCUAACUCCGUGCCAGCAGCCGCGGUAAUAC